rnacentral:lncRNA from 1 species
UCUCAAAAAUGUGAUUAGUUUUCUUUUUAAAUGGGCUGUUUGUCUUUUCACUUUUAAUUAAAAGGCACAGUGACUGAAGAUGUCUGAUGUCGAUGAGGGUUUCAUCUGUACAUGGCUCCUGCUUCAUCAGGAGGUGGCUGUAUGUGGCAGAGCAAGUGGUCUUUGGCUAUGAAGACUUUGGGGAUCUUUUGGCACAAAAGGGUAAAAAUGGCAUCUCUCUUCUCUCCAUUUAUACCUCAAUACAUCCAGAGGGUCUUGUGGUUAAAACACAACAGGAGACCUGUGCCCACUUUGCCAUAGAACUCCUGUUUAACUUUGGGUAAGUCAUUUAAUCUUUCUGCACCUGUUUUCCAAAAUGGAGAUAUUUACCUACAGUUGUUUACAGUGGCUUAAUUAAUUAAGCUACUGUAAAUUAAUAUUUGUAAAGCACUGUAAGAUCUUCACAUUGAGGGGCUAUAUAUACAUAUAUAUGCCAAGUAUUAUGAUUAUAUGCUAUGCUGAUAUAAUUAGCUGGGAUCUUUGAUCAUUUUUAUAAACUCACAGUUUUUUCUAGUAUCAGAGGGGUAGCCGUGUUAGUCUGAAUCUG